rnacentral:lncRNA from 1 species
CAAAUAAUACCAAUGCAAAUAUAGGGUAAAAGUCCGAGUCAGCCUUUUCCCGCCAUAUUUUAAAUCUCAAAUAUUUCGAAAAGGAGGUCCAUGACCUAUCAAUAUUUUUAGCUUAUUUUUAUCCUUAACGAAUGCUCUAUCAGUUUAUAGUAUCAUUUUCAAAUUCUUAAUUUAUUAAUUUUUACCUAACCUCACCUAAGUACAUUCUUAA